GCGCUCGUAGCUCAACGGAUUAGAGCACUAGUCUUCGGAACUAGGGAUGAGGGUCCGAUUCCCCCCGAGCGCA
rnacentral:tRNA from 1 species